GGCAAGCUUUAAAGCGGAGCUGAAUGUCAUUUUAAUCAUCUAUGGCAGGAACCCAAUUUCCCAGAUCUGUAGAUCCAGAUUGAAGGUUUGAUUUAUAAGCUUCUGGGGAAGGACGGCGCCUGACUGCACCUGCAAUGACUAAGAGGACUUUGGAAAAGCCACUCUCCUAACAAUGACAUCAACUCCAAUUGCUUGAGAACCUACUAUGUGCCCAGCUGAUGCCAGAAGCUUCCAGUCAACUUCUUACUUAAUCUUCACAACAGCCUCUCCCAUAAGGCUGCCGCCCCUGAAAACCUCGUUGGAACUUCUAGAGAGACUGAGCCAGAAGCACCCAGCUGAGCCACUUCCAGAUUCCUGAUGCACAAAAAAUGAUCACUUGGGUGUUGUGUAAUUCCAGAGCUCAAGGUGCUGAGUUGCUCACCUGGAAACAACAGCUUCUCUGAAAGUACUUAACCAAGCUGUGCUGUUAUCCCUGGCUCCAUUAUAAACCAAACCCCAUCUCCAUACCACCCAGCCAAGCAACCCCAACUUCACGCUAAAUGCAUAAUUUACUAUAAAUUGAACUUAAUGGGACUAGAGUAAUUAUGUUGACUUUUCAAAAUACUUUCAGAUAAAUACAUAAUUAAGUAUUUCAGAAUAUAAUCCUUCUCUAGUGUGUUUCCCAAGGGAGAGAGGAGGGGGAGGUGGAAGUUAGAGAGAUGGCACAGAAGGAGGUAGGUGGGAGGCUUUAGAAACACAUUUAAGUGUGUCUGAGUGUGUCUAAGACACACUGUGAUCCCAGUGGGGAGUGGGACCCAGGCUGACAUUUCAGGAGGGUGAUUUCACUAUACAUGUGAAAAGCCUUUAAAAAUUCCCAUACCUUUGACCCAUUGAGACCAGAAAUUAGUUGAGGAAAUUGAAUCAGAGAUGGAGACAAAAAUCUGUGUGCGGGGUUCGUCACCCCAGCAUCACUUAAAAAGAUCAAAUGCUGGGAACCAUCUAAAUACCUAAUAAUGGCAAAUUUGUUAAAUCAAUUAUGGAUGAAAAGUAAUUAUGAUGAGAU